AACUUUUUAGUAUACUAAGUACCUCCGUCUUCCAAAUGGAAAGUCUAAUUUUAUUUAGAAAAGUUA
rnacentral:tRNA from 1 species